AGUGAACGCUGGCGGUAGGCCUAACACAUGCAAGUCGAACGGCAGCACAGUAAGAGCUUGCUCUUACGGGUGGCGAGUGGCGGACGGGUGAGGAAUACAUCGGAAUCUACUUUUUCGUGGGGGAUAACGUAGGGAAACUUACGCUAAUACCGCAUACGACCUACGGGUGAAAGCAGGGGAUCUUCGGACCUUGCGCGAUUGAAUGAGCCGAUGUCGGAUUAGCUAGUUGGCGGGGUAAAGGCCCACCAAGGCGACGAUCCGUAGCUGGUCUGAGGGGAUGAUCAGCCACACUGGAACUGAGACACGGUCCAGACUCCUACGGGAGGCAGCAGUGGGGAAUAUUGGACAAUGGGCGCAAGCCUGAUCCAGUCAUACCGCGUGGGUGAAGAAGGCCUUCGGGUUGUAAAGCCCUUUUGUUGGGAAAGAAAAGCAGCAGGUUAAUACCCCGCUGUUCUGACGGUACCCAAAGAAUAAGCACCGGCUAACUUCGUG
rnacentral:rRNA from 1 species